rnacentral:lncRNA from 8 species
UCUGCUUCUUGUCGCGUUACGUAACGUCCCCCUAUCACUCGAUUGGCCCGCGGGGCGUCAGCGUGAAGUUAUGGGAAAACAAAAGGGUGAGGACACAGGUUGAGCCAAUUAAACGAUGCAAAAGGUAGGUCAUUUCUUCACAACGCUUUUUUCCUAAUGAGCCCCAGUGAUAAGUCAUGUUUUAAUUUGAUGCAUUCUCUCUCUUCUUCUCUCUGUUAUGCCAGCCAAGGGAUAUGCCUUUCGGUAUUGUUCUUGCCCGGGAGGGAAAAUGUCACAGCAGUGGCGCUGGUGCUGGCGCUGCUUUGGAGCGGAUCUGACACUCCGGUAAUUACUUCGCCGUAGCGCCGUCGCCGGGAAUGAGGGCAUUUCUCUGCAACGACAAUAACAUCUGUCAGAGAGCCAAGCAGUUCAGCUUCAAGUCCCUGUCCUCAUUCUGUCUCAGACUAGGUCUGAAAAUACACCCUCUUCUUCCCUGUGCAGUGCACUACUUGUGUCUCUGGUCAAAGGGAGUGCACUGUGUAGGGAAUAGGGGGUCAUUUCAGAUGCAGCCUCUCACUCUCUUUUAGAAGACUUCCCUACACAUAUCCUCAUGCUUUACAUGCCAGAGUCCCCCAAAGAGGAGCUACGGAUGCACAGAGUAGGCAACCUGAGCUACAGGGAAAAUAGGUUAGAAACAUCAAUACUUCUAUGGGCUUUUCUUUCCUUAUCAUGUACAGAGCUAGAGGAGCAAGUAGACAUGGCACAUGGGGUGUGUGUGUGUGUCUAUCAUAGUAGUGUGUCCUUGUGUGCGCGUGUGCAUGAACCCACAGUACAGUAAAGUCAAUGACUUUGGUGUGUGCGUGUGUAAAUGCCUGCCUGCCUGCCUGUGUGUGCCUCUCCUCAGCAGCAGAGGGAGGUCAAAGGCCAGCAGCAGAGGGAGGUCAAAGGCCACUAACAGAGUGGUUGGAACAAAACAGAAGCAGUGGGUGGUCCGGGGGAAGAUGGCUGACCCACCUCUGGUGGUCCAACAUCAAGAGGACUGGAGGACAAAGACAAUAAUACAUGGAGCAGCUCCCUGGACUCUGUCUACUCUGGCUGCACAGGAAAUGGAGCAAGACUGCAGAGUGGAGGACACAAAUGGACAUUCAAAAAUUAACCAAUGGGAAGCCAAUGAGACACCAAUCCAAUUAAAUUCAAUCCAAACCCAUCUCCCUACCAGCACACAGUCCUGUAGUUACAGUACUCAGAUGAUGAGAAUAAUGUCUUCCUCUCAUUUGCAUUUGGUAAUGAGUGCAUGGUGAUUAAAAAGUGAAAUGAAGGCUAACUGCCUUGUUGCCAGAUAGAUAAACAUGAACGGUGUAGAGAGUCGAUGGAACAAACUACAAACUACAAACGUCUGAGCUGUCGGUCCAAACUACAAAUGUCUGAGCUGUCUGUCCAAACUACAAACGUCUGAGCUGUCGGUCCAAACUAGAAACGUCUGAGCUGUCGGUCCAAACAACAAAUGUCUGAGCUGUCGGUCCAAACUACAAAUGUCUGAGCUGUCGGUCCAAACUACAAAUGUCUGAGCUGUAGGUCCAAACUACAAAUGUCUGAGCUGUAGGUCCAAACUACAAAUGUCUGAGCUGUAGGUCCAAACUACAAAUGUCUGAGCUGUAGGUCCAAACUACAAAUGUCUGAGCUGUAGGUCCAAACUACAAAUGUCUGAGCUGUAGGUCCAAACUACAAAUGUCUGAGCUGUCGGUCCAAACUGAGCUGCGGAUCUCUGGUUGAAGUUAGCCCCUAGUGGCGUCCGUCCUGAAGGUAGUUCACCCUACGUUCAGGGUUGUAGGCUGUUAUUUGUUAUUUUGUGGUUCUUGCUCCAAGCUCCACUCCUCGUGCUCCCCGAUGCUCGGGAUGAUGGUGCUUCGCCAGGUAAAGUUGUUAUGAUGAUGAAAUGAUGUAACAAUGUAAAUGAUUGCUCAUAAGGUGACAGUGAGGUGAUUGUAAUCCUAGCUGUCUCAGUAGUGCUCAAGACACCAUAUGUAUUCAAAUCAGAUUGUAUUGGUCACAUAUAUUUAGCAGAUGUUAUUGCGGAAUGGUUGUGUUCCUAGCUCCAACAGUGCAGUAGUAUCUAACAAUUCACAACAAUAACACAGGCAUCUAAAAGUAAAAGAAUGGAAUUAAGAAAUAUAUCAAUAUUAUGAUGAGCAAUGUCGGAGUGGCAUUGACUAAAAUACAGCAGAACAAAAUACAGUAUUUACAUAUGAAAUGAGUAAAGCAGGUAAAUAUUAUAGUGUUCCAUUAUUAAAGUGACCAGUAAUUCCAUGUCUAUGUAUAUUGGGCAGCAGCCUCUAAGGUGCAGAGUUGAGUAACCGGGUGGUAGCCAUCUAGUGAUGGCUGUUUAACAGUCUGAUGGCCUUGAGAUAGAAGCUGUUUUUCAGUCUCUCGGUCCCAGCUUUGAUGCAGCUGUACUGACCUCGCCUUCUGGAUGGUAACGGGGUGAACAGGCCGUGGCUCGGGUGGUUGAUGUCCUCGAUGAUCUUCUUGGCCUUCCUGUGACAUCGGGUGCUGUAGGUGUCCUGGAGGGCAGGCAGUGUGCCCCCAGUGAUGCGUUGGGCAGACUGCAACACCUCUUGGAGAGCCCUGCGGUUGCCGGCGGUGCAGUUGCCGUACCAGGCGGUGACCAGGCGGUGAUACCCUAAUUGGUUUUAAACCUGUAACUGAAAAAUUACUUUUUAAUAAUUUUUAAUAAAGCGUGUUUUUUUAGCCCAUAGAUUUUGUUAUAAUAUUUGAGUCGCUCAAAUAUCACAUGAAUAAACACUAGACAUGGCAAAAUGAAUAGAAUUGCAAAAAAUGUGCUCUAAAACUACUACACCCCAUGACAAAAUAUGUAGAAUCACAGGAAAUAAGCUUUA